rnacentral:rRNA from 1 species
GAUCCUGGCUCAGGAUGAACGCUGGCGGCGUGCCUAAUACAUGCAAGUAGAACGCUGAAGCUUGGUGCUUGCACCGAGCGGAGGAGUUGCGAACGGGUGAGUAACGCGUAGGUAACCUGCCUCUUAGCGGGGGAUAACGUAUUGGAAACGAUAGCUAAUACCGCAUAAAAGUCGACAUUGCAUGAUGUUGACUUGAAAGGUGCAACUGCAUCACUAAGAGAUGG